AAGAAUUUAUACCUAAAUGAAUGAAAACCAAUAUUUUUCACUUUUAAGGAAAAUUAAUUUUGCUGUAGUGUGUUUUGUUACUUAAAAAUUUUAAUACCUGCUGUUGAAAGUAUGCACUUGUAAUUAAGAUACUUUGAUAUCAUAAAAUUAAUAUCUUAAUCAUAUUAAAAAACAAAAAUUAUUUAAUCAUGAUUUUGCUAUUGCCAUGAUUAUAUCAUGAAAAAGAGUCACAUAUCAAAUAAAUGCACAGUUCUCAAAAAAACUUGAUUACAAAUAUGAUGUCUAUUGGUUUUGUAUACAUGAUUCUAAGCAUAUAACAUUAGUAAGCUUUAAUUUCUUCUAUUAAGUAUAAGAAUAUUGUGAGAUCAAUAUUAGAAUGAAUUGUUAUAUUGAAAUGACCGUAUUGUAGUUAAAUCUCUUGUAUGUUAAUUAUUCUUAUAGUAAUACUUUUACUUUAAAAAAUUAAAACUAUUGAUAAUUUUUAAAUUUUGAACUUAAAGUAAGGUAAUGUUUUAGAGUAAUACAUGUAUUUAUUAGAAUACUUAUCUGAUUAAAUUCAAUUAGAAGGAGUUGUAAGAAAAAAAUUUGCUUAAAAUUUAAGGUAGGAGUAAUUGUUGUUUUAAAAACAAUGUGCAAGUACUUAAAACAACUAUAGUAAAAUUAUUAUUUUUAUACAUAUUAUUUCUACAGUUACAUCAAUGGCUUGUUUAAAGAUUUGAGCUAUCAGUCAACAAAUAUUUUCAUUAUAUUUUGCUUACA